rnacentral:rRNA from 1 species
CCUACGGGAGGCAGCAGUAGGGAAUCUUCCGCAAUGGGCGAAAGCCUGACGGAGCAACGCCGCGUGAGUGAUGAAGGUCUUCGGAUCGUAAAACUCUGUUAUUAGGGAAG